UACGUAGGGGGCAAGCGUUGUCCGGAUUUAUUGGGCGUAAAGCGCGUGUAGGCGGCCAGGUAGGUCGGUUGUGAAAAUUGGAGGCUCAACCUCCAGACGUCGAUCGAAACCAUCUGGCUAGAGUCCGGAAGAGGAGAAUGGAAUUCCUGGUGUAGCGGUGAAAUGCGUAGAUAUCGUAAGGAAGACCAGUGGCGAAGGCGGGUCUCUGGACAGUUCCUGACGCUGAGGCACGAAGGCCAGGGGAGCAAACGGG
rnacentral:rRNA from 1 species